rnacentral:pre_miRNA from 1 species
CAACUACUCCCUCUAUCCCAAAUUUCUUGUCUUAGAUUUGUCUAGAUACAGAUGUAUCUAAUACUAAAAUGUGACUUGAUACAUCCGUAUCUAGACAAAUCUAAGAUAAGAAUUUUGGGACGGAGGGAGUACUUU